CAGCCGCCGCGGUAAUACGUAGGGUGCGAGCGUUAAUCGGAAUUACUGGGCGUAAAGCGUGCGCAGGCGGUUCGUUAAGACAGAUGUGAAAUCCCCGGGCUUAACCUGGGAACUGCAUUUGUGACUGGCGAGCUAGAGUAUGGCAGAGGGGGGUAGAAUUCCACGUGUAGCAGUGAAAUGCGUAGAGAUGUGGAGGAAUACCGAUGGCGAAGGCAGCCCCCUGGGCCAAUACUGACGCUCAUGCACGAAAGCGUGGGGAGCAAACAGGAUUAGAUACCCGUGUAGUCCCUGUCUCUUAUAC
rnacentral:rRNA from 1 species